UCAGGGUCAAUCUUGACAUUUCAAGUUUUUGGUGGCCCACUGAGUGAAGUUGGGGUGCCCUGCUUAUCAUAUUAGAGGACGGCGUAGUUAUUUAUACUGCAACAUUGUUUGGGUGGAAACUGGGAAAUAUUGAUCUCUUUGGCAUUGAAGAGAGGUGAGAAAACGCAGCGAAGGAGGCAAAAGGUAACUAUGGUGCUGCCAAGCUGUAGCUUGAUUCAAUUCUGUCAAGACAUUUAUGUGACUCAAGAUUGUGGUAAUUUCCACAAUCUUAUAGAUGAUUGUGCAGGAAUGGAUGUAGAACGUCAGGACAGUCAAGAUCAUUAUGCCGAUCAUGAUAUCUAUGGAUGAGACUAUCAGUUGCCUCUUUUGCGAGAUAGACUACCUUGUUUAGUCUAUCCUCCUUUUAUAUAAGCUGAAAUUAACUUCUAUACAUUACUUUAAUAUGUAAUAUUUUCACUUGAGGUUUGUAAUGUAUUAACACUAUGGUAACGUAGUACCAAUGCCGUAUGUGGCACAUAUGUUACAGCUUUAAUGUAUAUAUUAUGUAAGGACAUUCUGAUCAUAUUUAUUUAUAUUGAGGUAUUGUAAACAAGCUCUUAUAUGUUAUAAGGGAAUCAUCUCUCUCUUUCAAAAAACAAAAAAAGAUAUACAUAUUUUUUCCCUACGAAA